rnacentral:lncRNA from 1 species
AUAAAUCCUCAGUAGUUAUGUUCCAUGAUUCUGUGACCUUUUCACCUUCCUCACUUAUAAACAUGACAUUGUGAAUAUGUUUUCAGUGUCUCUCUCUUUGAAGUAAGUGUUGUUUUUUUUAUUGUUGUUUGUUUGUUUUUUUUACACAGAGAAUAAUUCUUUUAACAGUUUACUGAUAUGUCUCUAUCUUUUUGGUUUCUAUUUUUUAUUCACCCCAUCCACUGUAAAUGGAUGCAGCAUUCAGGAAGCUGGCUCGUUACCCAAAGCAUGGAUGCAGUACCCAGGCCUAAGCUGCUCAGAGAGAAGCUGUGAGUUCUGCUGCAGUGAGAGAAGACAACUCUCAGUGAUGCCAGUGGGGUUUCUCUGCAUCCUACUUCCUGAUGGUGACAAGGCUUCAGGAUUCAACUCUAUUAUCUUUUCCCUCAUGGAAAUAAGAUGAUGAAGAAGAGUAUUAUCUGGGACAAAAUUAUUUUCUUUAGGAAAAUUUAUUAAGCUAAUUAUGUCUUUGGCCUCCUUCCCCUAUUUCUGGUCAUUGGAUGGUCUCCAUUCCUUGAAAAUUACAACCAGCUUAGCCAGUAUUAUAAUGCAGCCUUACAACACUGUGUCUUGCAAGUGGACAACUGAGGCACAGAAAAAUUAACAAUGUGUGGGAGGUCUGAAAGAAAGAAGCAGUAGGAGAUAAAUAUUUUCUUGCUUCCUAGUCCCUUUUCUAUUUUGCCUGAUACACAAAGCAGAGCAACUAUAUGCCACAGAAGAGUCAGAUCACAAUCUGAAAAAUAAAACCCAUCAGUUCAGCUCA